rnacentral:rRNA from 1 species
AGAGUUUGAUCCUGCGUCAGGAUGAACGCUGGCGGCGUGCCUAACACAUGCAAGUCGAACGGACUUACACAGAAGCAGGAGAUGCUUGCAUUGACUAACGGAAGUGUAAGUUAGUGGCGGACGGGUGAGUAACGCGUGGGCAACCUGCCCCAUACCGGGGGAUAACACCUGGAAACAGGUGCUAAAACCGCAUAAGCGCACAGCUUCGCAUGAAGGUGUGUGAAAAACUCCGGUGGUAUGGGAUGGGCCCGCGUCUGAUUAGCUGGUUGGCGGGGUAACGGCCCACCAAGGCAACGAUCAGUAGCCGGCCUGAGAGGGUGGACGGCCACAUUGGGACUGAGACACGGCCCAAACUCCUACGGGAGGCAGCAGUGGGGAAUAUUGGACAGUGGGGGAAACCCUGAUCCAGCGACGCCGCGUGAGUGAAGAAGUAUUUCGGUACGUAAAGCUCUAUCAGCAGGAAAGAAAAUGACGGUACCUGACUAAGAAGCCCCGGCUAACUACGUG